rnacentral:rRNA from 1 species
GACGAACGCUGGCGGCGUGCUUAACACAUGCAAGUCGAACGGAAAGGCCCUGCUUUUGUGGGGUGCUCGAGUGGCGAACGGGUGAGUAACACGUGAGUAACCUGCACCUGUCUUUGGGAUAACUUCAGGAAACUGGGGCUCAUACCGGAUAGGAGCUCCUGCUGCAUGGUGGGGGAUGGAAAGUUUCGGCGGUUGGGGCUGGACUCGCGGCUUAUCAGCUUGUUGGUGGGGUAGUGGCUUACCAAGGCUUUGACGGGUAGCCGGCCUGAGAGGGUGAACGGGCACAAUGGGACUGAGAUACGGCCCAGUCUCCUACGGUAGGCAGCAGUGGGGAAUAUUGCGCAAUGGGCGGAAGCCUGAUGCGGCAACGCCGCGUGCGGGAUGACGGCCUUCGGGUUGUAAACCGCUUUCGCCUGUGACGAAGCGUGAGUGACGGUAAUGGGUAAAGAAGCACCGGCUAACUACGUG